GACGAACGCUGGCGGCGUGCUUAACACAUGCAAGUCGAACGGAAAGGCCCUGCUUUUGUGGGGUGCUCGAGUGGCGAACGGGUGAGUAACACGUGAGUAACCUGCCCUUGACUUUGGGAUAACUUCAGGAAACUGGGGCUAAUACCGGAUAGGAGCCCCUGCUGCAUGGUGGGGGUUGGAAAGUUUCGGCGGGUGGGGAUGGACUCGCGGCUUAUCAGCUUGUUGGUGGGGUAGUGGCUUACCAAGGCUUUGACGGGUAGCCGGCAUGAGAGGGUGACCGGCCACAUUGGGACUGAGAUACGGACCAGACUCCUACGGGAGGCAGCAGUGGGGAAUAUUGCACAAUGGGCGGAAGCCUGAUGCGGAAGCGCCGGGUGCGGGAUGACGUCCUUCGGGUUGUAAACCGCUUUCGCCUGUGACGAAGCGUGUGUGACGGUAAUGGGUAAAGAAGCACCGGCUAACUACGUG
rnacentral:rRNA from 1 species